UUAGAUUCAACACGAGCCUAGUGUUGAAUCUCGGUCUAGGGAUGGUGAUUGAUUUUAGUUACACGUUUAAUCACAUUAAGGCAUGUUGUCUUAGGGGCGUUGGACCCUCUACUCCAUUUUCAUGCAUAUCAAAUAAAACAAGAAAGGAGUACUUCAAAGUAAAGAUGAGCUUAUGCUCUUUACAACAUUUGAAUAAUACAAAUUACUUUAAAGUGAAGAAGAGCUUAUGCUCUUUUACAACAUUUGAUCAAAUCAAAUUUCAACCAAAAUCUAAUCUACACAUUCCCAUGGUUCAAACAAAUUUGAAACGGCCUUUCAUAUAGCUCAAUUAUCGUAGGCUUAGGUUCAUAAUCACCCUUUAAUUAAUUAACGCUUUAACUAAUUAAACUUGAAUGCAACAUUUUCAUUUGGUUUUUGUAUCCAUAAAAUUGAUUUAAAUGGAGCUAAAUGAAAUGAAAAUCCAAUUCUCAUUUGAAGAGACAAAACAAUUUUGUUCUCAACUUAAUUUGGGCCAAAAUGCAAUAACCUCAACUUUUGGGCCAUAUUGCAAAAACACAAACUUUUGGGGUCACUUUGUAAAACACAAAAGUCCACAACUUCAUGUAAUUACAACUAGAACCCAAAAAUUUCAAUAAAUAUAAAAACUUCAUUAAAGGAGCAAAACAAUUUGUCCUUUAGCGUUUUUAGGCCUUAACGUCAAAACGUAAACUUUCGGGUCAAAAUACAAAUACACAAAAGUAUCAAAACUUUAUGUAAUUCCAUAAAAGCCCCAAAAAUACCCUAUUUUAAUAGGGUGGCCGGUUUUAGGGAGAAAAGAGAGAAAAGAUAAGUCCACAAAAAUUUGGAAAUUGUUUCAACAAAUUCAUAAAGCCAUGCAAGUGGAACCAUGCAAGUGGAAAUAAGUUGGUGUGUGUGUAAGAGAAGUACUUCUUACACAUCCAUCAACAUUUCUAUCACCUUACACAAUUUCAAUCACAUUAAACAUUUGAUAAAGCACAAAACAAAGACUUUAUGAAAUAAAUCAAAACUUUGAGUCAAAACACCAAACUUUUUGUUCUUGGCUAAAAUGUCAAGAACAAUGAAGAACAUUCAUGAAAAACCCAUAAGAGCUCCAUGAACAUUUUUCAUCCAAAGAAAUCCCAAAACCACUUAAACUUAAGGGAAAUAACAUAUAACCAUACUAGGGUGCAUAGGGGUUCCAAAAGUCACCUUAAAACAUGAAGGAAAAAUUUUGUCCUAGCUAAGAACAAGUAAGAACAUUUGAAUACAUAUGCAAACUAUUAACAC
rnacentral:lncRNA from 1 species